CUUGCUUUUCCAUCUCUUAAGUUUGUCUUCUUGUACUUAAUUUAUUUUGUAGGUCUGAAGAACGGCUUUCCAGAGGAGGAAAACUAGAGCAAAUAGCUGAGAACUGAUUCUCAUUUUUUUUUUGUUUCGUUUCAAGGAAUUAAAGAACCUGGUUGUGCAAUGCAAUCAUUUUGAAACUGACCUAGAUUCACAGAAUAUUUCAUCGUGGCCCACUUACUGAUAGCAUCAGUUUUAUGUGAACUCUUACGUUGCCAUUAAAUUUCUCGGAUUACCAUUUUUAUAAAGCUCUCCCCUGUGCGUCAAUGGCAAAGGAUCUGUUUUCCAAACCUGUCUUGUUUCCUCAGUGAGUCAGUCUCUCAAAACUUAUAUUGCAGUCGUUGUUUGUAUUAUAAAAAAAUAAUUAAUCCCUAACGUAAGAAGAAUAACUACAUAUAGUCUCUACGAAAUUCCUAGCCUAAAAAGUCAUUUCAGAUGGCUUGCUUUCCUAAGGAUUGCCUAAUAUUACCUAACCAUGCCUAGUGCCGCACAAGAACAUGGAGCACAAGGGAGACGACUCUGGCAACCACGGGACUUGGGAAAAUAUGUGUAUUGGAAGGAAACAUCUAAUGCUGGUGGUCACUGACGAGCACAAUUUUGGGGGGGAAAAAGGAGCAUAUAAGAGUUCGGUGUAUUGUGCUUUUCCAAAUGUUUGGCUAUAUUUAGCAAACUUGGGAGAGUCCUGAUUUUUUUUUUCUAUUAUUAUUACUUGCGUGUCAGCAGGCACCGCCUGGCCUUCUCCUUCGCAGGCCUGACGCUGAGUCAGCACUUAGCCUCCCAACCACACAUAAACUAUUUUUUUCCUUAGAAAGUGCUCAUCUGGUGACUUAAUGAAAGCACUUUAAUGGUUGGAAAGAGAAAAGAAGUGUUUGCCUUAUGCUCUUACACUUGAAGCUGCUUAAGACAUCUAACCUGGGGGGGAAAGUAGGGACAAUUGUAAUCACAUAAACAACAAAAUACAAUAAAAAGUACUAGUCUCAGCAACAUUCAAAAGGGAGAAAUUUUGAGGGUAAAAUCUACUUCUAUGCUACUUCUACUGUUCCUGUACCUGGAAGCCAGAGUCACACAGUCCUGGCACUGACCAAAUUGUCCUGAGGCCGGGACAGUGGACCACUGACUCGAGUCCCCUCAUACAGUUUCAGUAAAAGCACAGCAAGAAGAGGAAGAGGCUAUAGCACUGAAGUCAUGAGUGAUAACCAUGCGGCUCCCAGUAAUAAUAAUAGCAAAAAUGUUUUGAACAUUUAUUACAUUCUAGCUCCUAAGCUAAGCUCUACAUAUGUUGUUUUCCUUAUUCUCCCAACAACUGUUCCAUUUCUGUUUUGCAGAUGUGGAAAGUAAGCUUUGAAAAUGAAGCUUAGGAAAGUAAGGUAAUUCAUCCAAGUUCACAGAGCUGGUAAACUGUGGGGCCAAUAGUAGGAGUCCGUUCCCCACCUCCACUCCCUGAUUCCAACACUGUGCGGAGAGGAAGUUGGAGCAGAUCUGCAAAUUCCAGGUCCUUUCUUAUGUCACAGAGCCUGUGUAACAUAAGAGCCGAGAGGACAGGUUCUGGAGUAGACUUCUGCAGUCAGUAGCUCUGAUGCAACUUGACCAAGUUAACCUCUCUACCUUUCUGUUUUCUCACCUGUGAUAGGAAAAUAACCUUGUCCAUGCAAAGGGUUCUUUAUAAGUAUUAAGUAUACUAUUCGCAAAGCAUUCAGAAAAGUGUUCAGCACAUAACCAGAAUCCAUGAAUGUUAUUUAUUCCCCAUUAAACAAAACUUCAUCAUUAUUGAUAUUUUUAGAUUAAGCUUAAGGAUAAUUAAAGAACAGCAAUUUCAAUGAAAGACAACAUAUGUUUGAUUUGCUUGCAUUGAGGUCUAAACUGAUGGGUGGACUCUACUGAGUUUGGGCAAAAUAUGUUCCCAGUUUGUUCAUAAAUUUGUUAAAAAAAAAAAAAGAAAGAAAAGGAAAAAGAAAGAAAGAAAAGAAAAGAAAUGGGCAUGCAAGUCCUAAGUAUGAAUUUAUUGAGGGCAGUAGUUGGUGUGAUUCAUUUCUAAAUCUCCUGAUGUAGAUAAGUUUUCCAUCUUCUUUUUUAGUACUCUGCUCCUCAGUCCUCAUAGCCUUCCCCAGAAGGCUUCUGCUCCCAGAAGAAUCUUUUUACAAGCUCCUGUGGUUCCGCAGCUGGCUCAUAAACCUACCAAAAUGAGGGAUUAUAAGGCUCAAGACAAUAUUGCCCAAGGUAUAAUCUUUGGACCACCUGGAUCCUAAUGACCAGGGUAUGCAUCCACAACUAAUGCAACAAGCCAGAUUUCAUCCUGGGGUGGGGCCCCGAAUGUCCUUCUUAACCCCACCAGAUGAUUACUAUACACUCUCAAUAUUGAGAUUCCCAAGCUUGACCACUUCUAGUAUUUCCAAGUAUUUUAAAGGAAAAAACCUUCAAACUUUGAAGUAAUGAAUAUAUAUAUGUAUAUUCUUAUAUAUAUUCACACACACACACACACACAUACACACGUAUGACCUGAAGAUCUCUUGCUUCCCCAUAAGAAUGAAGCUGCUUCAGAUCAUCAUCUAUGUAGCAGAUUUGCACUUUAAGAUUAAGUGAAUUAAUAGGACCAUGUGGAAUUGAGAUCACACCAGCUCAGGGGGUUAUUGACUUUGGCAUCUGAUAUCAGUUUAAACCUGAAGCUAGAAUUUAUGAGCUGCUUAGAGAUAUGUUUUUAACUUCCAGGAACUGAAUGUCCUUGUGGUAGCAAACACAGUUGGAAGUCUAUAGAACCUCAAUAGAUUUAUUGGCCUGUGUGGUGGAUAUGCAUGAUUACCUGAAAUACUGGAGAAUGUAAAAGAAAUAUUAAUGAUUUUGAAGAAUCCUGUCAAAGCUGAAGAAUCUGGCUGUAUGUUGCAUUUGAGUAGCAUCCAGAAUCAAUACAUUGGUGAGCGAUGCCUUAUGCACAGUGGGACCAAAUAAAUACAAUAAUAGAUAAUAUUUAUUUUAUGAGCAAGGAAUUUCUAAGUAAACUCAGAACAUUUUUCUUCAUAAACAAGCUAUUAUUUUCCUAUAACGAUGAUUCCUUUACUAGCAAAAAACAUAUGUAUUUCUUGAUCUGGGUAAUUUUCAUACUGGAGUGAAAUUUCUCUGGCUGAACACUGCAUAUGAUAACUGUUCUGAAUAGUGCAUUAGUUUCUAUUGCAACUGAGCAAGGUUGCAAUAGAAACCUUGCAACCUUGGUGAUCAUCUCCAAAUGCAAUCUUUUGACUAGAAGUUGGUUCUCAUUUGCGGGGACAAGGCAGGACAUUCCUUAUUUUCCUAUAUAUGAUUGGGUACUAAGAUUUCAGAGAGAAAGAAUCUCUCAUCAAAGGGACACUUUAUAUCCACCCAUCAUCUCCUGACACCCCAAAGAGCUCCAUUCCAAAUGAGCUGGUAUGACAGUCUGCUAAGACUGAAUCAGUAAUGGGAUAUUGCCAUCACUCAUUCAGAAUGUGGAAAACCUCUAAAGGAAUGAAAGAUUAAGGCAGUCUGUCUAGGCAUACCCAUGUAGGCAUCCUUUCAAAAGCAUAUGUCAUAGGAGUUCAUUAAAACCUAUAUAUCUUCAAAAAUAAUGCAAUACUAAGUAUCAGAUAUUUCACAGAUCCACACACUAAUAAAAAUACACUUGCCCUUCCCAGACAGUGUUUAACUAAACAAUAACAAAAAUAAUGAAAACCUGAGUAUAAGGCACAUGAUGUU